UACAGAGGCCCCAAGCGUUGUUCGGAUUCACUGGGCGUAAAGGGUGCGUAGGUGGCUUGGUAAGUUUGAUGUGAAAUCUCCGGGCUUAACCCGGAAAUGGCAUUGAAUACUAUUGAGCUGGAGGUUUGGAGGGGGGACUGGAAUUCUCGGUGUAGCAGUGAAAUGCGUAGAUAUCGAGAGGAACACCAGUGGCGAAGGCGAGUCCCUGGACAACACCUGACACUGAGGCACGAAAGCUAGGGGAGCAAACAGG
rnacentral:rRNA from 1 species